rnacentral:rRNA from 1 species
GUGGAUUAGAUACCCUAGUAGUCCAUGCCGUAAACGGUGCAUACUGGACGCAAGAUUGGUCAACGGCCAAUUUUGUGUCUGAGCUAACGUGUUAAGUAUGCCGCCUGGGAACUACGGUCGCAAGAUUAAAACUCAAAGGAAUUGACGGGGGCCCGCACAAGCGGUGGAGUAUGUGGCUUAAUUCGAGGCAACGCGAAGAACCUUACCUGGGUUUAACAUAGUUCUUACAAUAUAUGAAAGUAUAUGUCCUUCGGGAGUGAAUUACAGGUGCUGCACGGCCGUCGUCAACU